UGCAUGCUUUAUUCCAAGCUCAGUCAGCCUUGUUGGCUUUGUGCUUAGUUGUGAUGUAUUCCGUGGAAACAGCCACUGUAUGACCCUGUAUAAAAUACCUUAAAAGGAAACGAUCGUCACGAUUGGAAAUCGUUUCGGGAAAAUUGUUGAAUUACAUUGCAGAUCCGGUUCCGAUUGCUUUUAAUAUAAUUGAACCAACGGUAGCUUACAAGGCCCUCUAGAGUCGCUCGCCUAAAAGGCAGCAGUUUUUUGAGCGCGGCAACCACUAGCUUACCUGUGCUGAUCAGGAUGGAGACUGCAAUGCAACGUCUGGUGGAUGUAACCGUUCUGCUGUUGGUGGGUUUAGCUACUCUACCGGAGGGGCCAUUGCUGUUGUUAUUCUCGUUCUCUUGUUAUGGUGCUUACGUCGUUACAGGACCGUGCGAGCAUUAAAUGAACCACGACUCGUCAGACGUGUGGAAGUUGUGGUGCCUCGCACACAGCCGAAUGUCGCUGGAUCCAGCAGUCAUAGAAGCCCAUACAAUACCGGAUACGACCAACCGAUCAGGCCCCCGAUUCCGGCCAACCCUGCUGCUGAUGACCAGCCUGGCAGUGCUACAACGCCAUGCCAGCCGCCCCCUUACGACCAGAUCAAUAAGCCAAAUAAUCCAUAUAACUCUGGCUAUGACCAGCGUUUUUAACCACCAAGUAACAACAAUGAAAAGGCUUGCCAUGGACUCAUGCUAAUAUAUUUACCAAACAAGUGCACAAAAUGAUUUAUAAACGGAACCUAUAAGACAGUAUCAUUGUUAGUAGUGUCGCUUUAUAUAUAGUUAUGAAAUGUAUUACAUGUAUUUGUAUAUACUUCACACUUAACACUGCCAUGUAAAUACGGUUCAUUUAGUUUCUUCAUACGUGAUUUUAAAACUGACAUAUCAA